AAAUUGAAGAGUUUGAUCAUGGCUCAGAUUGAACGCUGGCGGCAGGCCUAACACAUGCAAGUCGAGCGGUAGCACAGAGAGCUUGCUCUCGGGUGACGAGCGGCGGACGGGUGAGUAAUGUCUGGGAAACUGCCUGAUGGAGGGGGAUAACUACUGGAAACGGUAGCUAAUACCGCAUAACGUCGCAAGACCAAAGUGGGGGACCUUCGGGCCUCAUGCCAUCAGAUGUGCCCAGAUGGGAUUAGCUAGUAGGUGGGGUAAUGGCUCACCUAGGCGACGAUCCCUAGCUGGUCUGAGAGGAUGACCAGCCACACUGGAACUGAGACACGGUCCAGACUCCUACGGGAGGCAGCAGUGGGGAAUAUUGCACAAUGGGCGCAAGCCUGAUGCAGCCAUGCCGCGUGUAUGAAGAAGGCCUUCGGGUUGUAAAGUACUUUCAGCGAGGAGGAAGGCGUUAAGGUUAAUAACCUUGGCGAUUGACGUUACUCGCAGAAGAAGCACCGGCUAACUCCGUGCCAGCAGCCGCGGUAAUACGGAGGGUGCAAGCGUUAAUCGGAAUUACUGGGCGUAAAGCGCACGCAGGCGGUCUGUUAAGUCAGAUGUGAAAUCCCCGGGCUCAACCUGGGAACUGCAUUUGAAACUGGCAGGCUUGAGUCUUGUAGAGGGGGGUAGAAUUCCAGGUGUAGCGGUGAAAUGCGUAGAGAUCUGGAGGAAUACCGGUGGCGAAGGCGGCCCCCUGGACAAAGACUGACGCUCAGGUGCGAAAGCGUGGGGAGCAAACAGGAUUAGAUACCCUGGUAGUCCACGCUGUAAACGAUGUCGACUUGGAGGUUGUUCCCUUGAGGAGUGGCUUCCGGAGCUAACGCGUUAAGUCGACCGCCUGGGGAGUACGGCCGCAAGGUUAAAACUCAAAUGAAUUGACGGGGGCCCGCACAAGCGGUGGAGCAUGUGGUUUAAUUCGAUGCAACGCGAAGAACCUUACCUACUCUUGACAUCCAGAGAACUUAGCAGAGAUGCUUUGGUGCCUUCGGGAACUCUGAGACAGGUGCUGCAUGGCUGUCGUCAGCUCGUGUUGUGAAAUGUUGGGUUAAGUCCCGCAACGAGCGCAACCCUUAUCCUUUGUUGCCAGCGGUUCGGCCGGGAACUCAAAGGAGACUGCCAGUGAUAAACUGGAGGAAGGUGGGGAUGACGUCAAGUCAUCAUGGCCCUUACGAGUAGGGCUACACACGUGCUACAAUGGCAUAUACAAAGAGAAGCGACCUCGCGAGAGCAAGCGGACCUCAUAAAGUAUGUCGUAGUCCGGAUUGGAGUCUGCAACUCGACUCCAUGAAGUCGGAAUCGCUAGUAAUCGUAGAUCAGAAUGCUACGGUGAAUACGUUCCCGGGCCUUGUACACACCGCCCGUCACACCAUGGGAGUGGGUUGCAAAAGAAGUAGGUAGCUUAACCUUCGGGAGGGCGCUUACCACUUUGUGAUUCAUGACUGGGGUGAAGUCGUAACAAGGUAACCGUAGGGGAACCUGCGGUUGGAUCACCUCCUUACCUUAAAGAA
rnacentral:rRNA from 1 species